AUUGUACAGCAAGUGUAGAUUACAAGAUUGCUGAAGUAAAUCAUAUCUCUGGCUGUAAUUGCAGAAAUAUGCACAUUGUAGAAGACUGGAGUCUAGUUUAGAGGUAGCUAGUUCCAGAAUGGCAGAAUUGGAUCCUCCUCGAGAGAAUUCUGAUUCAAGAGGAAACAAAAUCUUAGCUUCUACACUAGAAACUGGUCCAUGGAGAGUCCCAGUAAAGAGGAUUCGAGACCCAAAUGGAGAAAUGGAUGGGUGUUUGUGACUGCAUUUUAACCAAAGAUGGACCUGGAACAAUUGCGGAGGCGUUGAUAAGGGGCUUUCCAAUCAUGAAGCAAUGGCUAGGCAGUUGUAUUGCAGGCUCUGGUGUUGUGUUGGUGCAGUCGGUGUGUCCAAGGGAUAGGAGGGUUUUACUAAAAUAUAAGUGUUAUUAGAUUUAUUUUUAUUUUUUUGGUGUUGAAGUUUUGUAAAACUGAUCUUCUGUGAACAAUAGUGAUUAUAAUUGGAAGGAAAUCUGAUCUUCUUUUCAAAUACAUGGUUAUUAAAGUAUUAUACUAA